CAGUGGGGAAUAUUGCACAAUGGGCGCAAGCCUGAUGCAGCAACGCCGUGUGAGUGAAGAAGGUUUUCGGAUCGUAAAACUCUGUCCUUAAGGGAAGAAACAAAUGACGGUACCUUAGGAGGAAGCCCCGGCUAACUACGUGCCAGCAGCCGCGGUAAUACGUAGGGGGCAAGCGUUAUCCGGAAUCACUGGGCGUAAAGGGUGCGUAGGCGGCUUAGCAAGCCAGGGGUGAAAGGCAUUGGCUCAACCAAUGUAAGCCUUUGGAACUGUUAAGCUUGAGUGCAGGAGAGGUAAGGUGGAAUUCCUAGUGUAGAGGUGAAAAUUCGUAGAUAUUAGGAGGAACACCAGUGGCGAAGGCGACUUACUGGACUGUAAACUGACGCUGAUGCACGAAAGCGUGGGUAGCGAACAGGAUUAGAUACCCUGGUAG
rnacentral:rRNA from 1 species